rnacentral:rRNA from 1 species
CCUACGGGGGGCUGCAGUGGGGAAUAUUGCACAAUGGGGAAAACCUGAUGCAGCAAACCCGCGUGAGCGAUGAAGGCCUUCGGGUCGUUAAGCCCUGUUCUAAGGGGAGAAUACUGACGGUAACUUAGGAGGAAGCCCCGGCUAACUAAGUGCCAGCAGCCGCGGUAAAACGUAGGGGGCUUGGCUUAACCGGAAUUACUGGGCGUAAAGGGUGCGUAGGCGGCCCUUCAAGUCAGAGGGGAAAGGCUACGGCUCAACCGUAGUAAGCCUUUGAAACUGUAGGGCUUGAGUGCAGGAGAGGAGAGUGGAAUUCCCAGUGUAGCGGUGAAAUGCGUAGAUAUUGGGAGGAACACCAGUUGCGAAGGCGGCUCUCUGGACUGUAACUGACGCUGAGGCACGAAAGUGUGGGGAGCGAACAGGAUUAGAUACCCCAGUAGUC